rnacentral:rRNA from 1 species
UACGUAGGGUGCGAGCGUUAAUCGGAAUUACUGGGCGUAAAGCGUGCGCAGGCGGUUCGCUAAGACCGAUGUGAAAUCCCCGGGCUUAACCUGGGAACUGCAUUGGUGACUGGCGGGCUAGAGUAUGGCAGAGGGGGUUAGAAUUCCACGUGUAGCAGUGAAAUGCGUAGAGAUGUGGAGGAAUACCGAUGGCGAAGGCAGCCCCCUGGGCCAAUACUGACGCUCAUGCACGAAAGCGUGGGGAGCAAACAGG